ensembl:snoRNA SNORA71 Small nucleolar RNA SNORA71
UCCUGCAUCCGAAAGUGGUCGUGGACUGCCUGUGUCCCGGUCAUUGAUAGUGCAGGGAAAGGAAUGUGGAGAGAUGUUUCCCCGUGUUUGGAGGGCUUCCUUGUCCCUUCUGAACCCUGGAGCUUUCCCACA